rnacentral:rRNA from 1 species
AUGAACGCUAGCGGCAGGCUUAACACAUGCAAGUCGAGGGGCAUCACGUGUAGCAAUACAUGGUGGCGACCGGCGGAAGGGUGCGUAACGCGUGAGCAACAUGCCCGUAUCAGGGGGAUAAACCAGGGAAACUUGGUCUAAUACCGCAUAAUAAGUUUCUAAGGCAUCUUAGGGAUUUUAAAGUUUUGGUGGAUACGGAUUGGCUCGCGUGACAUUAGCUAGAUGGUAAGGUAACGGCUUACCAUGGCAACGAUGUCUAGGGGUUCUGAGAGGAAGAUCCCCCACACUGGAACUGAGACACGGUCCAGACUCCUACGGGAGGCAGCAGUGAGGAAUAUUGGACAAUGGAUGGAAAUCUGAUCCAGCCAUGCCGCGUGCAGGAAGACAGCCCUAUGGGUUUUAAACUGCUUUUAUACGGGAGCAAUAAGGACUAUGCGUAGUUUGAUGAGAGUACCGUACGAAUAAGCACCGGCUAACUCCGU